AUUUUCCAAUGUGUUAAUGUUGACAAGGUCAAACGGACUCUUGGUAAUGUCUCUGCCCUAAAUGAAAUAUUUUCUAUUGCCUGUUUUUUUUUAAGUGUUCAUCAAAACCUUUGGUUAGGUAGAUGCUGUGUGAAGAGCUGUCAAGUCAUUUCUGGUUUAUGGGUGACCCUGUGUAUAGGACCAGCAUGGUGUUGUGGUUAAGAGCAGGUGAACUCUAAUCUGGAGAACCAGGUUUGAUUCCCCACUCCUCUGUAUGAGCAACGGAUUCUUCUCUGGUGAACUGGAUUUGUUUCCCCGCUCCUACACAUGAAGCCAGUUGGUGAUCUUGGGC